rnacentral:lncRNA from 1 species
GUGGGUGGAAUCAAGCUGACAAGAUACUGAGGAAGGCUAGGGAGGUGGCACCAACGUAUGCAUUUGCAAAUCAUGAGGGUCCUGGCAGGGUGUGAUUCUUCAUCCUUCUUUCACCGCACUACCUUCUGAGAGGAGGCCUGUCUUGAUAUUGAUAAGGUCAGUGGUAAUCUGUCUGACUCCCAUGCUGUGCCUUGCAGCGUCCCUUGAAUGACUAUCGCGUGGGCAUGGAACUUUCGGGGACCGUCUGUGCUCUCUACUUCAAUCAUGGAAUCAAAGUGGACCUUGGGGGCCAGUAUGACGGGUGAGGCCACCUGGGAACUUGAAUCAUCAACUGAUUUCAGACAGGCGGCGCCAAUCUGCCAGGAGACUGAAAGCCAUCUCUUGCCACGCCCUCUUAAAAUAUGUCUGGCAUCCUGCAGGAUGUUGCCUGUCAUCAACACAGAUGAUGCUUGGGCAGCCCUGAGAGGACAUUUUGAGCUAGAUUCACCUGUGAAAGUGCGGGUCCAUAAGGUGAUGCAUACACCUCCCCCUGAAUCUAGAGUGCCUGGACGAGAAACAUGUGAGCAGUGGUGCAUGGUGUGAGGUGGUCUACUACUGCAAUGUGUGCCGCAGAUAUUCUAUGGGCCACGUUGCCGAUUUCCCAUUCAGCUGGAGCUUUUGGAGCCUGCCGAACUCAUUGACCAAAUGUGCGCAAUGCCAGUUGCUUGUGCCAGUCUUGACAUUUUUAUGCGCCAGUUUCAAACAAGUCAGUGACUGUUGGACUAGAAACUCUGCUCCGAGUACA